rnacentral:rRNA from 1 species
CCUACGGGCGGCAGCAGUGGGGAAUAUUGGGCAAUGGGCGCAAGCCUGACCCAGCAACGCCGCGUGAAGGAAGAAGGCUUUCGGGUUGUAAACUUCUUUUAUCAGGGAAGAUGAAUGAGACUGUACCUGAUGAAUAAGCCACGGCUAACUACGUGCCAGCAGCCGCGGUAAUACGUAGGUGGCAAGCGUUGUCCGGAUUUACUGGGUGUAAAGGGCGUGUAGGCGGGAUUGCAAGUCAGGCGUGAAAACCAGAGGCUCAACCUCUGGCCUGCGUUUGAAACUGCAGUUCUUGAGUACUGGAGAGGUUGGCGGAAUUCCUAGUGUAGCGGUGAAAUGCGUAGAUAUUAGGAGGAACACCAGUGGCGAAGGCGGCCAACUGGACAGCAACUGACGCUGAGGCGCGAAAGCGUGGGGAGCAAACAGGAUUAGAUACCCCGGUAGUC